rnacentral:rRNA from 1 species
GAUGAACGCUAGCGGGAGGCCUAACACAUGCAAGCCGAGCGGUAUUUGUUCUUCGGAACAGAGAGAGCGGCGCACGGGUGCGGAACACGUGUGCAACCUGCCUUUAUCUGGGGGAUAGCCCUUCGAAAGGAAGAUUAAUACCCCAUAAUAUAUUGAGUGGCAUCAUUUGAUAUUGAAAACUCCGGUGGAUAGAGAUGGGCACGCGCAAGAUUAGAUAGUUGGUGAGGUAACGGCUCACCAAGUCAAUGAUCUUUAGGGGGCCUGAGAGGGUGAUCCCCCACACUGGUACUGAGACACGGACCAGACUCCUACGGGAGGCAGCAGUGAGGAAUAUUGGACAAUGGGUUAGCGCCUGAUCCAGCCAUCCCGCGUGAAGGACGACGGCCCUAUGGGUUGUAAACUUCUUUUGUAUAGGGAUAAACCUACUCUCGUGAGAGUAGCUGAAGGUACUAUACGAAUAAGCACCGGCUAACUCCGUG